rnacentral:lncRNA from 1 species
GUUGUGUUUAGCAAAACAGUUAUUGAGAUCAAAAUGAUUUCUGAGUAUUUAGGGUUUUACUUUAAAAGGUAAGUUCUGUGAAAUGACCACAUUUUUUCAAUAAACAUUAUUCUGUUCUUAUCUGUGACAUUUACAUUAAUUCAUGACCAGUUUGUACUCUCUUGCCAACUUAUGUAUACUAGCAUAAAAAUGAAUGAAAUCAUCCAGCUAAAAACUUAGAACCUUCAGAAAGAUACGAAGUCUUACUCUGAAUGAAUAUGCUUGUGCCUGUCAGUUCUAAGGUAUGUUAGUUAGAUAAGGUUUGUUUCUUGUUCUGACAGUAUAUCAUUUUAAGUGCUCAAAAUGUGUAAAACAAUGCACAGUGCAAGCACUACCAACAGCCCUUGCCCUUUAAAGCACUUACGUUUUCAUUAGUGAAAAAAUACAGUCAUUAGUAGAUGUGCUACUAAAUAUUGGCUUAGGUCUGCUGUAAGGUUGGAGAGUAGCAGUUUUGUUGUUCCACAGCAAAUUCCUUGGCCUGACUUGUCCAUUAGCUGUUUGAUGUUAUGGUUAUUUGAAUUUCAUUUCAGUAGCAGCACGUUAAUUUUUCCAUUGGGUCCCUUAUCAUGAUUAGGUUUUCCAGGUUGGAGAAUUCACAGCAAUAGCAGUCUCUACUCUUUGGAUUAUUUUUUUUUUCCUAAACAAAAGUGGAUCUGAUAAUCUCUCUUUCCUCCAGCCAGGAUGGUUUGUGCUACUGUGUAAUGAGAGAAAUCCUGCAUCUUCGGCUAUUCAUGGGCCUGAAAUACAGCCUACUGCAGCUGAUAAGGUAUAAUGGGUUUCAGUGAGCUUCAGCACCUCUGAACUGAACACAGCAGAGACCAAAUAUGACUGCAGUUUCCAAGUUCAACUGUAAGGAGGAUUCUAUUGUAACCUCAGAGCCAGUAGUUGUAACCAGUAUCAAAAGGGGUCCAUGGAACCACCAAAAGAGACUCAUGACAGCUAACACACAAGCACAGGAGAGGGGAGAAAUACACAAAGAACUUCUUGGAAACAAUGUGAUUAGCAGGAACCCUUCGCAGGGAAGGCAGCCCAGGUGUCCAGACCCAGCAAGCACAGCGUUUCCAUCAGCUUUCAGGGAGCACGACCAGUUGGAGGUCAUACAUGUUUGUCUGGAUAGACUGAAGAAAAGGGAACACAAGGAGUAA